rnacentral:rRNA from 1 species
AUUGAACGCUGGCGGCAGGCUUAACACAUGCAAGUCGAGCGAGCGGCGGACGGGUGAGUAAUGUCUGGGAAACUGCCUGAUGGAGGGGGAUAACUACUGGAAACGGUAGCUAAUACCGCAUACCAUCAGAUGUGCCCAUAUGGGAUUAGCUAGGAGGGGGGGUAAUGGCUCACCUAGGCGACGAUCCCUAGCUGGUAUGAGAGGCUGACCAGCCACACGGGAGCUGGAACACGGUACAGCGUCCUACGGGAGGGAGCAGUGGGGAAUGUUGCACAGUGGGCGGAAGCAUUAUGCAGCCAUGCCGCGUGUGUGAAGAAGGCCGUGGGGGUGUAAAGCACUUUCAGCGGGGAGGCGUUACUCGCAGAAGAAGCACCGGCUAACUCCGUGCCAGCAGCCGCGGUAAUAC